rnacentral:rRNA from 1 species
AUUGAACGCUGGCGGCAGGCUUAACACAUGCAAGUCGAGCGAGCGGCGGACGGGUGAGUAAUGUCUGGGAAACUGCCUGAUGGAGGGGGAUAACUACUGGAAACGGUAGCUAAUACCGCAUACCAUCAGAUGUGCCCAGAUGGGAUUGGAAAGUAGGUGGGGUAAUGUCUCACCUAGGCGACGAUCCCGAGCUGGUCUGAGAGGAUGACCAGCCACACUGGAACUGAGACACGGUGCAGGCGCCUGCGGGAGGCGGCAGUGAGGAAAAUUGCACAGGGGGCGCAAGCCUGAUGAAGCCAGGCCGCGUGAGUGAAGAAGGCCUUCGGGUUGUAAAGCACUUUCAGCGAGGAGGCGUUACUCGCAGAAGAAGCACCGGCUAACUCCGUGCCAGCCGCCGCGGUAAUAC